CUUUCGGAUAAUGCAUUAUGGGGUUCAAUCGACUGGAAAUGCCUUCGUCUAUAACCCAUUUGAAGGAAUACAUUGACUUACCAAUCACCCUGUAUAAUAAAUGUCCCAGAGCAUGCCCCGGCCUACAUAGCUGAAAAAUUUUGGGGUAUAUUAUAUUUAUUUUAAAAUAGUAAUAUAUUAUGAAUUCAAUUAUGCUUGACUUUAAUGCUUAGUAAAAAUAUUAUUUCAUGAUAAGUAUUUUUUUAUCAUCAGAAAUAUCAAUGUCACACUUUUUUGUCAUUUGAAAAUGACCCAUUUGUUGGUUGGCACGUAAACAAAGUUUAUGUCACUUGUCAGUUUUCAGUGUCAUUAAUGUUUUUUUUUCGAGACUAAGGCAAAGGACUAAAAUCGAAAUUGAGCCUAAAAUGCCUACGUCACUUCCGGUUUUAAAAUAAUAAAGUUUAAAGUUAAAUAUAACAUGGAAAAAUAAAUGUACAUGAAAAAUAAAAAAAUACAGGUCCUCUAAUUUUUAACAAACUUUCCGAAUAGCUAAUAAAAAUAUAGGGUAAAAAAUGAAAUGUUGUCCAUUGAAAUAAAAUAAUAACACAAUUAUUGAUUGUGUGUUAUACUUAUUUAUCAAUUCAUUAUGACUGACAAGAUAUUUAUCAACUAUCUACCUACACACAAAAUCAACACAUCCGCAGUGAAUUAACUAUGAUCAACACAUAACUGUCAGCGGUCAACAUUUAUUAUUUUCAACAUUUAUUCGCCAUUUCUAACUAAAUAAUGCGGCAAAUUAAAAAGCCCUAAUGUCAGUACUUGUAGUUUGAAGUGAAAUGAAGUUGUCAUUUAGUCGGUUAACCAAAUCACAGAAUAUUUUCAUAAAAAUUUUUCAACCUCUAGUCUAGUGUAUCGAUAAAUCUCAUACCUAUUAUUCGUUUAGUGAUCAUGACCGAGAUAGCCGAUGCCAAAAAAUGGUUAGAAACCCAUCAUAGAUUUAUACGGUUAGUAAUCGCGAAUCUUUGACACCCGAGUUACAUAAUGGCCCGGCUGUUACCUAUUAUUCGUUUAGUGAUCAUGACCGAGUUAGCCGAUACCAAAAGACGGUUAGAAAUCCAUCAUAGAUUUAUACGGCAAGUAUUCGAGAAUAGUUGACACCCGAGUUAGAUAAUGUGGGUGCAGGCAUAGGCACGUUGAAAUGAAAUCUCAUCAUAAAAAUUGCCAUGCGUAAAAAAUCAAUAUCUACCAUUAAUUUUAUCGCAUUUUAUGAUUAUAAAAGCAGUUCUUUACGAAUCAUUGGGUUUUAUUUUUAUUGAUAAAUAGGUACGAGAAUUUUAUCGAUAUUAUAAUAAAUAAAUGAAAAUUUCAAUAAACCAAUUUAUUCCAACAACUUAUUUUGUGGGAUUUAAAAUCGAUAUUAAUCUUAUCAAGUAUCGAGGAACAACUUUUUUAUUCAACGUUGAAGAAAAAAACCAUGUAUGUGUGUAAGUCUUGUCACUUUUGACAGUUACUAUUUUCUUUUUUCUGUUGAAAACUUUAGCCGAAAUUGUCUGAACUGUUUGAACUGAAAAAGUCUCAAGAAGUUUCUUUUAAGUAUCCAAAGUAAGAAAAAUGUUGAGGAUAAGUUGGGUCCAUAAAGUGACGAACGAAGAAGUUCUGCGACGCGUCGGAAGAUCCCGAGAACUCACCUUGACCAUAAAACUGAAGAAGACAAGCUAUCUUGGACAUGUGCUCAGACACGAUCGAUACAGACUUCUUCAGGUCAUUGUGAUGGGCAAGGUAGAGGGGAAAAGACGUGUGGGCAGAAGGAGAAAGUCGUGGCUCCGUAACGUAAGAGAAUGGACGGGAGUGGCCAGCGUAGAACAGCUGAUGCGCUUGGCGAAGAAUAGAGAGGAGAACUCCCAGCGCAGAGGCUGAAGCCAAAGGAGACAUGAUGGUUUUGCAGCGCGAGCAGAUACAAUGCGAUAGCAAGAAGGCGGACACCAUGGAAAUGGUAGCUGCAGCAAGAAAUACACAAACUGCUGUAAAUUAGGCCCACAAUGCCAGAUGAAUGGCAUUCAUAGAAGCAGGACUUGAGUUGUGGAAAAAUGUAGAUAGUAUUCCUAAUCGUAAUUCAUUAAUGAAUCCUACUUAAUAUAACAAAAACAUGUCUUUAAAUGCAUCAACAUGGUACCUAAGUUAUAUACUUUUUUCUAGGCUCUUGAGAAAAAGGAGGAAUAGUUCUAAUUAUGUAAUAACUUGAUUGUUACUGAAUGAUUAUGAGAAUACUCAAAGACUUAUAUGGGAAAUAAGGCUUUUAUCAUUAAUAUUAUUAGUUUUAUUAAAGCUUUGUUGUUUUCCAAGAUGAUUUAGUCAGCAGUGGAUAUCUGACUUUAGAGAACAUAUACUUAGGUAAUUUGGUUAUUCUAGGAAAGAGACUUAAAUAAACAAACUGUGAUUAAUUUGUUGUUUAAAUAAAUAUAAAGUGAAUGUGUA